AGUUUGAUCCUGGCUCAGAGCGAACGCUGGCGGCGUGCUUAACACAUGCAAGUCGAACGCGCAGUUCGGUGUAGCAAUACAUCGGGUGGGCGCGUGGCGAACGGGUGCGUAACACGUGGAUAACCUUCCUUCAGGUGGGGAAUAACCCAGCGAAAGUUGGGCUAAUACCGCAUCACAUUACGAGGGCACAUGCUCUUGUACUCAAAGCCGCAAGGCGCCAGAAGAGGGAUCCGCGGCCGAUUAGCUUGUUGGCGAGGUAAUGGCUCACCAAGGCAAUGAUCGGUAGCCGGACUGAGAGGUUGGCCGGCCACACUGGAACCGAGACACGGUCCAGACUCCUACGGGAGGCAGCAGCGGGGAAUCUUGCGCAAUGGGCGAAAGCCUGACGCAGCAACGCCGCGUGGGGGAUGAAGCUUCUCGGAGUGUAAACCCCUUUCGACCCGGAAGAAUGCCCGCAAGGGUUUGACGGUACGGGUAUAAGAAGCCCCGGCUAACUACGUGCCAGCAGCCGCGGUAAUACGUAGGGGGCCAGCGUUGCUCGGAAUUACUGGGCGUAAAGGGUCCGUAGGCGGUGUGGCAAGUCGGGAGUGAAAUCUCUGGGCUUAACUCAGAGGCUGCUUCCGAAACUGCCGUGCUAGAGUGUGAGAGAGGCGAGUGGAAUUGCGGGUGUAGCGGUGAAAUGCGUAGAUAUCCGCAGGAACAUCCGAGGCGAAAGCGGCUCGCUGGAUCACAACUGACGCUGAGGGACGAAAGCUAGGGGAGCAAACAGGAUUAGAUACCCUGGUAGUCCUAGCCCU
rnacentral:rRNA from 1 species